ensembl:snRNA U6 U6 spliceosomal RNA
GUGCUUGCUUUGGCAACACAUAUAUAUCAAAAUUGGAAUGAUACAGAGAUUAGCAUGGCCCCUGUGCAAAGAUGACACACAUUUGUGCAGCAUUCUAUU